rnacentral:rRNA from 1 species
AGAGUUUGAUCAUGGCUCAGGACGAACGCUGGCGGCGCGCUUAACACAUGCAAGUCGAGCGAUCGGCCAGGGGCUUGCCCCUGGGUACGGAGCGGCGAACGGGUGAGUAACACGUGGGUGACCUGCCCUCGGUUCUGGGAUAACUUCGGGAAACCGGUGCUAAUACCAGAUGGCCUCCGCAGCUUUCGGGCAGCGGAGAAAAGGUAGCUUCGGCCUCCGACCGAGGAUGGGCCCGCGGCGGAUUAGCUUGUUGGUGAGGUAACGGCUCACCAAGGCGACGAUCCGUAGCUGGCGUGAGAGCAUGACCAGCCACACUGGGACUGAGACACGGCCCAGACUCCUACGGGAGGCAGCAGUGGGGAAUCUUGCGCAAUGGGCGAAAGCCUGACGCAGCGACGCCGCGUGCGGGAAGAAGGCCUUCGGGUUGUAAACCGCUUUCAGGAGGGACGAAGCCCCUCGGGUGAAUAGCCUAGAGGGUGACGGUACCUCCAGAAGAAGCCCCGGCUAACUACGUGCCAGCAGCCGCGGUAAUACGUAGGGGGCAAGCGUUGUCCGGAUUUAUUGGGCGUAAAGAGCGUGUAGGCGGCCAGGUAGGUCUGGUGUGAAAACUCGAGGCUCAACCUCGAGAGGUCAUCGGAAACCAUCUGGCUAGAGUCCGGAAGAGGAGAGUGGAAUUCCCGGUGUAGCGGUGAAAUGCGCAGAUAUCGGGAAGAACACCUAUGGCGAAGGCAGCUCUCUGGGACGGUACUGACGCUG